CUUGUAUUACGAUUUAUGACUUGCGAGGAUGCCUUAUUAUAUGUUGUUCCCUUUUCUAGUAGGAAAUCGCAGAUAGAUGAAGAGGAAUUGGACACGGUUUUUAACCCUCCUAUACUUUUUUGUUCUUUUCUGCAGGGAUGAAAUGUAUUUUCCAUUAAGGGAACCUAUUUGUGUGCAUCGUGGCUCUACCCUAGAAGUACAUUUCUGGCGCUGUUGUGAUUCUACAAAGGUUUGGUAUGAGUGGGGUGUUACAUCUCCUUCUACAUCUCUAGUUCACAACUGUAAUGCACGUGCAGACUGUGUAUGGCUUAAUUGAAUUUACCUCAAUAAUUUGCAGUCUGCAAACAAGUAGUCAUAGCAUCCUCAGUCCUCACAGCUGACAAUAAAUUGAUUUUUGGAACUAGUAUCGGUAUCAAUUCAAUUUGGGAAAUCAUGUAUCUGCUUUUCAGAACUAGCAUAGCAUCUGAGUUAGUUCUCUUAUUGUCAGUACAUUUUAUAAAAUCAUGCCGCAUUAUAAGAUUGUUGAGAUGAUCAUUCUAUGUACGCUGUGUAAAGUUGUAAAUAAAUAUGGAUUUUUCUAGGAAAGUUUGGUGAGUUUUCUUUUA